rnacentral:rRNA from 1 species
CCUACGGGUAGCAGCAGUGGGGAAUAUUGGACAAUGGGCGAAAGCCUGAUCCAGCCAUGCCGCGUGUGUGAAGAAGGCCUUCGGGUUGUAAAGCACUUUCAGUGGGGAAGAAAGCCUUGGGGCUAAUACCCUCGAGGAAGGACAUCACCCACAGAAGAAGCACCGGCUAACUCCGUGCCAGCAGCCGCGGUAAUACGGAGGGUGCAAGCGUUAAUCGGAAUUACUGGGCGUAAAGCGCGCGUAGGCGGUCUGAUAAGCCGGUUGUGAAAGCCCCGGGCUCAACCUGGGAACGGCAUCCGGAACUGUCAGGCUAGAGUGCAGGAGAGGAAGGUAGAAUUCCCGGUGUAGCGGUGAAAUGCGUAGAGAUCGGGAGGAAUACCAGUGGCGAAGGCGGCCUUCUGGACUGACACUGACGCUGAGGUGCGAAAGCGUGGGUAGCAAACAGGAUUAGAUACCCGUGUAGUC